CCUACGGGUGGCAGCAGUCGAGAAUUAUUCACAAUGGGGGAAACCCUGAUGGUGCGACGCCGCGUGGGGGAAUGAAGGUCUUCGGAUUGUAAACCCCUGUCAUGUGGGAGCAAAUUAAAAAGAUAGUACCACAAGAGGAAGAGACGGCUAACUCUGUGCCAGCAGCCGCGGUAAUACAGAGGUCUCAAGCGUUGUUCGGAAUCACUGGGCGUAAGGCGUGAGUAGGCUGUUUCGUAAGUCGUGUGUGAAAGGCGCGGGCUCAACCCGCGGACGGCACAUGAUACUGCGAGACUAGAGUAAUGGAGGGGGAACCGGAAUUCUCGGUGUAGCAGUGAAAUGCGUAGAUAUCGAGAGGAACACUCGUGGCGAAGGCGGGUUCCUGGACAUUAACUGACGCUGAGGCACGAAGGCCAGGGGAGCGAAAGGGAUUAGAUACCCCAGAAGUC
rnacentral:rRNA from 1 species